CUAUUGUUUAUGAUGUUUUUUGUGGUUUUUUUGAGGAAUUUUGAAAAUAAGACAAAGAAUUUUGAAAUUGGAAAAGGAACCAAAAAAAGUGUUUUUCGGGAUUCUCUAUAGAAGUUUGACAAUGGCUUGAAAUUUGAAGUUUGAAGAGCCCUAUGGAGAUCAAGACUUCGUUCACAUCUAAUCCUUUCCAUUGACAAACUAUAAUAUUUACUGAUACUAUUAAUAUGAAUGUCGGCUGCAAUCUCAAUAGACUUUCAGAUCUAGCCCAAAACAGGAGUUCAUUGACCAAAAAACAAUGGAAGAAAGUUUCUCCAAUUUGCUCCGAUUCUUCAUCACGUGGAUGGUGGACGCAGGACUCCCUCAAUCUCAAAAUAAAAAAGUUACGGGGAGCGUUCAAUAAGUUGUUAGAACAUCCAAGAGAUGGCGGUCAUGGUAUCAGAUGAACAUCGUUCGAGCCGUCAAGUAGAAGUGACUAUUCCCGAAGUGAUUGACGAAAUCCAGGAUAUCUGUCUUAAGUGAUUGGCGGAUCAAAACGCGUGAAAUAGUCGAGGGCACAGACGUUUCGUAGGGUGCAGUGUUUUCAAUUUUGCACAAAAAUUUGGGCAAGAUAGUUGCUGCGUUUGCACCCAGUAUAGAAUAUAUGCAAUCCUGUAUCCGAUUCUCAAGCUGCUUUGGCGACUUUCCAUAGCAAUUUUGAUGAGUUUCUGCUGCGAUACAUUACAGUCAGCGGUUCACAACGAAUGAAGAGGUCAUCGCCAAAAUAGAUGCUCUUUUGAGGAUCUUCCAAAACCUGGCAGUUGGAAGAUCCUCAAAGAAAGACACAGAGAUGUCCAAAAAUAAAAAAAAUCUCCUGCUUGGGCAUGAACUUGUUACGUGAUUUAUCGUCUCAAUACAACCCGUAUCCAAGUCGUAUUUGCGAAUCUAUAUAAAGGAGUAAGCUAGUAAUUUCUUCGGUCACGCUGGUCCCUGGUUAGAGGUCCGGCAUUUUCUGAUGAUUUGCCUCUACCCUGGAUGA